rnacentral:rRNA from 1 species
ACUGUCUCUAAUUAAUUAAUAAUUUAAUUUAAUUUUUAAGUUAAAAAGCUUAAAUUUAUUUAAAGGACGAGAAGACCCUAUAGAGUUUUAUAAAUUUUAUUUUAUAUUAAAUUUUAAUUAUAUUUAUAUAUUUUAAAUUUAUUUUAUUGGGGCGAUAGGAAAAUUUAAUAAACUUUUUUAAUUGUGUUUACAUUAAUUUAUGAGUUUUUGAUCCUUAUUUU